rnacentral:lncRNA from 1 species
CCAAAUUUUUUUAUAUUUUAAAAUAGGCUAAAUUACAGAAAACCCUCCUGUAAUAACUCGCUUUUUCACUUUCCCCCCCUGACAUUUAAAAACCUACACUUUGCCCCCUUGUAAAAUGAAAAAUGUUCACAGGGGGGUUACGGUGUGUAAAAUGACCAUUUUGCCCCUCGCCAUUGUUGUCUUCUUCCUGAGCUUCCUCAGCAGCCCCUUCGAUUCGCCGCUAUUUCCACCUCAAUCGGCCACGAUUCCUCUCCAAUUNAUAUAUAUAUAUAUAUAUAUAUAUAUAUAGUGUAGGACUACUAUGCUAUCGAAAAUAUAGAGGAUUUGAUGUUUUCGAAUUUUUGACAUUUUGAUUAAGAAUUAUAUAGUUGGGAUGAUUGCGGUCCCUCCUAGGAUUAAAUAAUAUUCCUAGAAUUGAGUUCAUGUUC